rnacentral:rRNA from 1 species
GAUGAACGCUGGCGGCAUGCCUAACACAUGCAAGUCGAUCGGUAAGGCUCUUCGGAGUACACGAGAGGCGGACGGCUGAGUAACGCGUAGGAACACACCCUGCAGUGAGGGAUAAGACACCGAAAGGUGUUCUAAUACCGCAUACGGUCUUCGGAUUAAAGCAUUUAUGCGCUGAAGGAGUGGCCUGCGUCAUAUUAGAUAGUUGGUGAGGUAAUGGCUCACCAAGUCGAUGAUGUGUAGCUGGUCUGAGAGGAUGAUCAGCCAGACUGGAACUGAGACACGGUCCAGACUCCUACGGGAGGCAGCAGUGAGGAAUAUUUCACAAUGAGCGAAAGCUUGAUGGAGCAAUGCCGCGUGCAGGAUGAAGGCCCUCGGGUUGUAAACUGCUUCUAUAAGAGAAGAUUAUGACGGUAACUUAUGAAUAAGGGACGGCUAACUACGUG